rnacentral:rRNA from 1 species
CCCUUAGAGUUUGAUCCUGGCUCAGGAUGAACGCUGGCGGCGUGCUUAACACAUGCAAGUCGAACGAUGAAGCCCAGCUUGCUGGGUGGAUUAGUGGCGAACGGGUGAGUAACACGUGAGUAACCUGCCCUUGACUCUGGGAUAAGCGCUGGAAACGGCGUCUAAUACCGGAUACGAGCUUCCACCGCAUGGUGAGUUGCUGGAAAGAAUUUCGGUCAAGGAUGGACUCGCGGCCUAUCAGGUAGUUGGUGAGGUAACGGCUCACCAAGCCGACGACGGGUAGCCGGCCUGAGAGGGUGACCGGCCACACUGGGACUGAGACACGGCCCAGACUCCUACGGGAGGCAGCAGUGGGGAAUAUUGCACAAUGGGCGCAAGCCUGAUGCAGCAACGCCGCGUGAGGGACGAAGGCCUUCGGGUCGUAAACCUCUUUUAGCAGGGAAGAAGCGAAAGUGACGGUACCUGCAGAAAAAGCACCGGCUAACUACGUGCCAGCAGCCGCGGUAAUACGUAGGGUGCGAGCGUUAUCCGGAAUUAUUGGGCGUAAAGAGCUCGUAGGCGGUUUGUCACGUCUGCUGUGAAAACUGGAGGCUCAACCUUCAGCCUGCAGUGGGUACGGGCAGACUAGAGUGCGGUAGGGGAGAUUGGAAUUCCUGGUGUAGCGGUGGAAUGCGCAGAUAUCAGGAGGAACACCGAUGGCGAAGGCAGAUCUCUGGGCCGUUACUGACGCUGAGGAGCGAAAGCGUGGGGAGCGAACAGGAUUAGAUACCCUGGUAGUCCACGCCGUAAACGGUGGGCGCUAGAUGUGGGGACCAUUCCACGGUUUCCGUGUCGCAGCUAACGCAUAAGCGCCCCCG